GGAAGUCUAGGUUUCUAUUUAUCAUGUAUACAGAUAUAUGUUCUUAAGAUCAUUUGUAGGACUUUGACUUUUACUCUGAAGAAAAUGGGAAUCAUAUCAAGGUAUGAAAUAGAGAAAUGGACAAUGUGGCAUUUCUUAAAAGGAUAAUUAUAUGUAGAGGGCAUCUAAUUAAGUAGGAAGAAAAGAGGAGGCAGGAAAGCCUUCUGGAAGGAUGUUGUAUUGAUCUUCGGUAAGAGGUGGAGAUGGCUUGCAUUUUGAGUAGUGAUAGUAGACAUGGCAAGAAAUAAUUAGAACUUCUCUCUAUCUAUUUUUAAAAAGCCAGCAGCAUUUCUUUCUAAAUGACCAGAGGUAGCUAAUAGAAAAGGAGAAUCCAGGGUGCAGGCAAAGUCUUGUGUUGGGUGUCAGGGCUUUCGUCAUGCCAUCAGGUUGAGAGGCACCUAGUGAACUGCUUCGGGGGUGUGGAGAUUGAGAGUUCAGGGUGGAACGUUCUGUGUUCCCUUUGUUAUCACCAUUUGUUUCUGUAAGUUGCACAAGUGAGGGCCAUGGAAAGCAUGAGUCAGUGAGAGAGUAUCCUCCUGUAGUACUGGGUCAGAGUAGGCGUGUCUUUGAGAUGGAGAAGGGAAAGAAGAUAGGAGAGUAUCAAUGGCUCUGUUGCUGACUCAUGCUUUGUGUGACAGUCAUUUGUUCAAGUUAAGAAAACGGAGCCAGAACUAUUAAGCUCUUCUUGUACGCCAGAUACGUGGUGUACUAACUCAUGCCUACCUUCGUAGUUAAAGGAGAUGUUGAAUUGCAAUUAGAGACUAGAGAGUUUCCUAGCCUCUGCCCUACAGCUGAGACCACAGGAGGAUUUUUGUAGUUCACAAACACUCUCUAGCCAUGAUAUCAUUAUUCAUCUUCAGAACAUUUCUUGUCGAGCAGGCUGGUGAGGUUACCCUUUUUGUGCUCUGAGGCCUAGAGGUCUUGCUCAGUGCAGAGGCAACAGUUAAAGUGUCCAAGAUCUCUGACUUACAGGGCAAGAGCUUCCCAACAGCUCUUUGUCACCCAACUUUUUAUUUUCAACAUUUUAAAACUUUAAAAAUGUAUAAUAGUAUACCAAAACACAUAAAUUUCUUUUAUGUAUUCCACCCAUUGUUAUUUUGCCAUAUUUGAUUUAUAUCUUACGCGCGCACACACACACACACACACACACACACACACACACACACACUUUUUUUUAAUGGCCUGUUUGAAAGUAACUUACAGGCAUUCUGUCAUGCCCAAGCAUACUUAACCUACAUCUUUUAAGAAUUAGACUACUAUCCUACAAAACAAAUCUCAUAUACAAGAUAACUAAUAAUAAUUUAAAAACCUGUUAUCUCAUAUGCUAUCUAUAUUUAAAAUGUGGGACUGGCACCUAAUAUCAUUUUUAGCUAUUUUAUACUUUGAAGGUACUGAUCUAGAAUACUGUGUGAUAUUUGAGUACAGUAUCUUCCAUCUCUUUGAAUAGAGCUAUUUUCCAUUUUGAAAAAGGAUACUGUUUUUGAAAAGUCCGGGUCACUUGUCAUAGAGAGAGUCCUAAAUUCUGUUUGUUUGAUUGCUUCUUCAGAAUUAGAUUUAGGUUAAAGUCUUUUCAGUGUUUUGGGCAGUAAUAGCACACAGGUGAAUGUCAGGUUAUGGUCCUGUGUUGAGGGACUGAACAUUUAACUUCAUCAAGGCGAGAAGUUCAAGAUUCUUCAUUGUGGGACCACACUUUCUCAUCUUAGGUUAAUGUGUUUUGUGGAGUGUUUCUGAGCCUAAAACAUCAGCAUCCAGGGAGGAUCUUUACCUGGAUUUGUUACUUCAGCGGUGGGUGCCAAAUCCCCAUUAUCUCUCCUUGUUUCUGUUGUGCCAGGAUCUUACACCCCUGGGACUCUGCAGUUGUAAAAGAUGCAGGAAGCCAACUAUGGAGUUAGAUGCAGGUGAAGGAAUGGCUCAGGUGAUGCCAGGGUCCACCAGUGCUAGGCAGGGCAUGUAAUGGUGAAGCAAAUCUGCUACUCUGGUGACAGUGAGUUUCAAUUCUGUCACUUUGGGUGGAGACAGUUUCCAUAGCUUAGCUUUUCUUUCUUUCUGUUUUUAAAAGUGUUUUUAGGGGAAGAACAAAAGGAUUAAACCAACACAACCUCUUUAGCACCGUUUUCUCUCCUUUUUGCUCCCUUUCCCUCCCCUCUCAUUCCCUGAUCUUUCAUCAAAGGCACUAAAUGUAUGUUUAAAAAUUUUCUCCAAGUUUUUUACUCUUUCAUCUAUCUCUUCUAAUCGACCAGUUCUUAACAUUGUUUUCUUCUGGCACAAUUGUCCUGCUGGCUUUUCUUGGUAGAACAAGGACUUGAGGAAGUUGGAAGCAGUUUUUCACUUUGAUUUUCUUUUUUUUUUUUUUUCUUUUUAGGAAGUAACUUUUAGUUAUGACAUAUAUGGUCCCAGCUCAGCUCUUCACAUCAGAAAAUACAUAGUUUUGGAAAAAAAUAAUAUAUUUUAAGAGUUAUCACAGUAUUUUUCUCCAGUAAUUGUCAGCAUCCCAGCUGUACCCUGUUUUUUUUUAAAAAAAAAAAGCAUUGUUCUGCCAGCUACAUACAUUCUUUUACUAAAGCUGAAAAAUGGAAAGCUCUCUCUCUCUCUCUCUCUCUCUCUCUCUCUCUCUCUCUCUUUCCUGGUAGUGUCUAACCACAUAUCUGAACUCUGGUUUCACAUAGGCAGUUGUUGAUGCUCAGCAGAUACAUGUUAUGUACAAAAGUCAUGCUGCCAGGGUAUGGAAAUUAGGGUGAGGACCUCUGAGAAGGUGUCUACUUAACUCGCCAGUCAUCUAGUUUCUAUGGUAACGAUGACAAACAACUGGGCGUAGUGGAACACCCUGUAAACCAGAACUGGGGAGGCAGAGGCAAGAUGAUUGCAAAUUUGAGGUCAACCCAGGAUUACAUAAAAAGUUCCAGGCUAGCCUGAGCUACAAGAUAAGACCCUAUGAAAAACAAAAAACCCAAAUAAACAAAUAACAACAUAUGCUCUCUCUCUCUCUCUCACACACACACACACACCAAUAAAUGUGAAAAAGAAAUAAAAUUUAAAAAGUGAACCCUGGCAAUGAUACACACACACACAGAGAGAGAGAGAGAGAGAGAGAGAGAGAGAGAGAGAGAGAGAGAAGAGAGAGAGAGAAACAGACAGGCAGACAAACAGACACAGAGAGAGAUAGAGAGAGUCAGUAUAUGUGUGUAUGUAUGGACAUCAGAAGAUCAUGGUCAGUUGGUCAGGUUUGGUGGCAUCUUUGCCUGUUGAGACAUCUCUGGCCACUCACUUUAUUAUUUAAAGAAAUAGUUCCCCCUCCCCACACCCAGUGCAGUGUAUUUACAAAAUAGUCUUUUUAAAAAAAAUCCUACAACCUCCAAAUGUACUCUUAACAGUUCUGUCUAAAUAAUUUAUAACCCAAAAUUAUAAUAAUGCUAUAGAAUAUGAUAUAGUUUUUACAUUGAAAGGUGUCGUUUUGUGAUCUGAUAAACUUUCAAUUCAACUCUUUGCACAAAGUUUAGAGAAUAAAGUGGUGCGGAAGGAUAGGAGACGGUCUCCCUCAGUACAUUCCACAGCAUUGCUUGUCAGAGUGUUUCAAGGGUUAGGAAGGAGAUGAGCCCUUUCUCAGAGAUGUACUUGACCCUGUGUCUGCCUUGUUUUUCCGGGUAAAGGACACUAGUUUAAUCCCUACAAUCCUUCCGCGGCUUGACAUAGAGUAUAUCACACAGGGUAGGUGAGGUUUGAAGAUCCUUCUAAAACCUACUUAAUAUUAACCAGGAGUUUUAUAAUCCUAAUUGCCUGUAAACAUUAUUUCUUCUAUGUAUUAAACUAACGCAACAUGAAGCAUGUAUUUAAAUAGCAAAACAUCUUGAAAACAGUGACCCUUAUGCUCCAUAGAGGUCACUUCUGAAAUUAAAAUUUAGUGACUCUAUGCUGGAUGUUAAGGCUUACAUCAAAUGAUUUUUAAAGGUGGUUUCAACUUUAAAAUAAUAAAAGUCCAGCUGUUAGUAAAAUCUUAUUUUCAACAUUAAAUAUGAUAGCAUGUGGUAAAUAUAUAAGUAAAAACUAAAUAUGUGGUUGUCUAAUAUGAAUGUAAUUUUAAGAGUAAUUAAAAUGAAUUUUAGUUUUAAAAUGACAUUUUAUUUUAUGCUGAAAAAUAACAUUUAGAAUUGAAAAUUUACUAUUUUAUUAUAUCCAAAAUGUUUAAUGGAUUUAUGAUUCAGAUGUUUUGAUUAUAAGUUUUGAGAAUUUACUUAGUGUUUUGAAGUUAAAACAAGAGCUCAGUGGUACAUGUCUAAUUUUGGCAUUCAGGAGGCUGAGGCAGAAAGACCUUGGGUAUAAGGAUAAUCUGGCUGUAUAUUGACAAUCUGCUUCGGGCUGGAGAGAUGGCUCAGCCAUUAAAGGCUAGGUUCACAACUAAAAAUAUAAGAGAAUCUGCCUCAAGAAAGUUUUUUCUAGUUUUAUUUUAAAGAGCUGGGGAUGCAACCUAGUGGUAGAACUCUUGCUUAGUGUGUGCAAUGCCUUGUGUUCCAUUUCCAGCACCAAAAAAGAAAGAGACAAAAUAAACAAACAAACGAACAAAAAACAAACAAAGCAAAACAACAAAACUUCUUGAGUCUCCAAAUAAAACAGAACAAUAACAAACACACAAUAACAACAAAACUGCCAAAAUUUGUCACUGAAGAGUUUUUCCAUGCCUAGAUUUUUAUCUUUGAAACAUGGAUAUAUUCAGAUAAAACAUUAAAAACCACUAUUGUUGCCAGGCGUAGUGGUGCACACCUUUAAUCCCAUCACUCGGGAGGCAGAGGCAGGUGGAUUUCUGAGUUCAAGGCCAGCCUGGUCUACAAAGUGAGUUCCAGGACAGCCAGGCUAUACAGAGAAACCCUGUCUCAAAAAAAAAAAAAAAAAAAAAAAAAAAAACAAAAAAAAAAACAAAAAAAACAAAAAAAAAACAAAAAAAAACAAAAAAAACAAAAAACAAAACAAAAAAAACCACAAAAAACUAAAAAACCAAAAAACCAAAACAAACAAACAAACAAAAAAACCACAAAAAACAAAAAACAAAAAACCCACCAAAACAACAAAAAAAAAAAAACCCAAAAAACAAAAACAAAAAACCCGUUAUUGUUUAAACAUAAUGAAGUUUUAUGAUUCAACACUAGGGUGUCAAGACAGAGUUGGUGUUGAACAGGAUUGGCAUAGCUGAUAGCAAAUAAGGUAGGCUCUGAGGAUUUUUACAUCUAUAGCCAGAGCCUCCUAUAGACCUGUGUGAUCCACAUACCACAGAGGGAGAGUUCAGUGAUUUCUGCCUCUCUCUCUGAGCUGAGUACCCAGUUAGCCAGAGAUAGGGGUUCCAAUUCUUUUAUAUUCCCUGUACCCCACCACAAAGGUCACCUGUACCCUAGGCUGGCCAGGAACUCCAUACAUAGCAGAAGAUGACCUUGAACUCCUCCUGAUCUCCCUGCCUCCACUUUCCAAGGGCUGAUUACAGAGCUGUACCACAAUGUCCAUUUGGGGGUGGGGGUAGAGUGGGCUUUUUUUCUUUUCUUUUUAGUUUUCUUUUCUAAUACAGGAUCUUACCCUGUAGCCCAGGAACUUGGAGUACCCGUCCUUUCUCAGCUUCCUUGGGGUAGAGAUUCAUUUUACACCUUGUGAGUAUUUUGUUUUCUUUUUUCCUGUUAUUCUGUCUACUAGUGCUUUUCAAAUUGCUCCUUAGGGACUUUUGAAAUAAAAUUAUUGAUAUUUAGUAAAAAUAAAUUCAAUAUGUGUAAUCACAAUGCAACUAUAAAGGAAAUAUAAAGCUACAAAUAGUAAAGAAUAAUUGAAAAUGCAUACAAUUUCUUUUCAUUGUUCUUUCAAAGUAUUAGAUUUUAGUUAACCAUAUUGUCAUAGCUCUCUAGUACUAGCACAGGAGAGGAUGAAGCAAAGGCUGUAGCUCAAGGCUAGCCUAGAGAUUACCUCAAAAGAAUGAAUGUCUUUUUCUGGGCUGAAACAAAACAGAAGAAAAAGUAAGCUUAUAAUAAUAGCCACAAACAGGACCAGUCUGUUUUUACUUUUGUCUUCUUUGUAGGCUGUAAAAAUCUUAAUAUAUUCACUGAAAUAACUGGGGACUAGUUUCAGAUAUGCCUCCAAACUAGUUUUAACUACCACGUGGUAUAUAUACAUCCAUUCCUCCCCCCUUUUGUUUAAUGGUGAUGACACUAAACAUUUUCAAACUCUUAUCCAUAAAAUCACUGGUGAUAAUAUUGCUGGUAGCAUUCUCUUUUGGUUGGCCAAUGCUGUUGGUAAACAUGACUAACAGGCUGCAGUAUCAUUGUAUGUACUGUUGCCAAGAUAGUAGACAAUGAUAGUGAGGCUGACCAGAACUCUCAAUGAUUCGUGGAGACUUAAGGGAAUAAACUUGCCUUUUCUCAGUUUUCUGAGUGUGUGUAAAAUUGUUAGUGGCUACCACUUUCUGAUUAACCUUUGGUUUUCUCUGUCCUUGAGAUGAAUUCUUUCCCUGUUAGCUUUUACACCCCAAAUAGAUAAUAAUCCCCUAGAAUUCCUGUUUUACUGGUUCUUUAGGUCUGUCAAGAUCAUAGACACUUGCCAGAUAUAUGAAGAAGGAUAUAUGAAGCCUAUGAGAAGCCAAGGCACAACCAGCAGAGAAUGAUUACCGAACUUUCUACUCUAAAUAAAGUAAGCUUUUAUUGUUGAACUCCAAACUCAGAACAAACUCUAUCACAACAUCAAAGUCCCGACUGAUAAUUUUGUUAUUAUUAGCAUUGCUAAUGUUUCUGGAUGUCUUUUCAUUUUCUGUUGACCAGAGCAUUUAUUAUUAUAUUCCCUGUUGGGUAGCUUACAAUCUUUUUUUUGGUGGUAUAUAUUUCUAUAAUAUUUUUAAUAAUUACAUUUGAUAUGGAAUCUCCUAAGUGAAUACAGUGGAGGACAAAUAAUUGAAGACUGAGAGAUGCAAAAAUAUUAAUAUCAAAAAUUGCAAAGACCACUGAGAUGUAAGGAAACCUUGGAAUGGGCCCGACAGCUGGAGGCUCUUCCGUGAAACAUCUGGAACCAGUGACUCAGAUGCUGUCACAUCCACAGAUGAAAAAACUGAGAGUUGAAAAAGGCUGAAAGUUUUUCUCAGGGAUGCUGCAGAACUGAUGUCUGAUCUUCUGGCUCCUGGACCAGUGCCCUUUCUAUUGUGCAGCCCUAGUUGUCAGCAAGAGAAAGACCAGGUCAGCCAAGCACACAUACACCUAGGUUAUCCAAAGCAAGGCAUUAAUGAUGGAUCCAUGCUAUACAUAUUUUUUCCUUUGUAAUUCUACAAUGAUUGGCUUAAUUAUUUUAUUUGGUGGUUACUUAAUUAAAGAAUAGGUAAUAAUUAAUUCAUAAAUUUUUGGAAUAUGUGGAUAAAAUUACAUUCAGUAUUAUGUUGAUGUUCAGUGUCAUUUUUUGAGAUAUCUUUGUUACAAUUGUCAGAAGGUUGUUGUUUCAGUUGCUUUUAGAUAAAUAACAUAGGGAAUUUUUGCUGUGUUUCCUGAAUAGCUAAGUAAAUAUAUAUACACACACACAUAUAGAUAUACUCAAUAAGCUAUGGAUUAGAUACUAUAUUUAUUUAAAAGAGUCUGUGUACUGAUCAGAAAGCUAUUUCAUUUGCUAGAGAUAAAGAAAAUGGAAGCAUGAACAGAUGUAGGAUGAAUAGAUAUUUGAAAUUAAGAGCUGUGUCGACUACUGAUUUUACAAUUAGAUGGUCUGUUAUAUGAAGACAUUAAAUUCAUAAUCAAAGGUAUCUGAGACACAUCCCAGUUCUUAUCCUGUACCUAGGUGCUUUUACUCUUUGAACAUCUGUGCUGUUUCACAUCUAGGACAGCAUUUGUAUUAUUUAUACCUUCUCAGACCACCAGAUGCUCUACAACGUCCAUAUGUAAAAUAUCCAAUAGUCUAAAGCGUGUCCCAUUGCUUUCUCUGAAGAAAACACUAAUUUCAAAAAUCAGAUAGCUCAGGUGUAGAGAUGGAUAAAUAAACAUAGACCUCUCUUGAGUGUCUGUGCUUCCUUGAUAUACUCACCACCCAAGUAAUCAAUAUAUGGACAUAUAAAUAGAAGAAGUAUAGAAGACAUUAUGGUGCCUAGUCAUACUUCUUUUUACUGGCUAUGAGUUUUGGGAGUUCUUUACAUUUUAAUUAUAUUAUAUUAUACUAUUUAUUUAUUUAUUUAUUUAUUUAUGUGUUUGCAUAUGUGCCAGUGCACACGUGUAUGCAAUGCUACCUUAAAUUUAGCAGAAGAAAACUUAGAAAAGUUUAUGCAGUGCCUACUUAGUGUCCAUUCCACAAUAAAGUCAGAUAGUAGAGUAGAUUAAGCCUGAUUCUAAGGCAUUUUUUUCAUACAGCUUUUAAAUCUAUCCUUCCACUGUAGCAAAGGAAGAUGUGUAAUUAGCUCUUCAGGCAGACACCCUGCAUGUUAAGAUAUGAUAGUAUUAAUACCAUAGUUCAGGGUUAUUAUCCAUUAAGCAGAUUUUUCUAGGAGGCCCCAAGGACUUAACUGUCAGGUCAAACACUGACAGAUCACAAAAGGGAAAGGUUGACCAUUUCUCAUGGGCACGACGCUGUCAGAAGUAUAAGGACUGUCAUACUGCGGUAAUGAAAAACUCUGAUCCGUAGCGUUCUGGAAUUGAGGUGAAAGUCAUUGGACUGCCAGGGCCAGGAAGCAGGAGUGGGUGGGUUGGUUAGCAGGGGGAGGGGGUAAGGGAUAGUGGGUUUUUGGAGGGGAAACUAAGAAAGGGCAUAACAGUUGAAAUGUAAAUAAAUAAAAUAUCUAAUAAAUUAAAAAAAAAAAGAAAGUCAUUGUUUUUGAGAUGGAGAUGGAAUUAGACAUACGCAGUAGGUUUGAAUCCAAGUUUCACAGCAGUACAAAAACCCAGACACACUUGUGUUCUUGGCCAUGCCACAGGGGGUCCAAGAAACAUGUGCUCUUGUGACUUAAUUUAGAAAUAGUAAACAUCAAGAAUGCCAAUGAAUUGGGUAGGUGGCACCUGCAGUGUGACAGCAAUCCAAAGCGUCCUCCCAUUUAUUUGCUUACUCAUCCAUGAAGGUUUUGUAGCUGCAGAUCAUGGGACUCUUGAAUCACUUUAAAAGAACAUGGAAACUAUGGUCCAGAAUGAGAUUAUAUUAUCCACAAGGCACUUACUGAACCGUGGAAUUCAAGUGAAUCCCUAAACUAUUAUAACAGCUUUCUUUUCUUUUCCCUUUCCUUUCCUUUCCUUUCCUUUCCUUUCCUUUCCUUUCCUUUCCUUUCCUUUCCUUUCCUUUCCUUUCCUUUCCUUUCCUUUCCUUUCCUUUCCUUUCCUUUCCUUUUCUUUUCUUUUCUUUUCUUUUUCCUUCAAUGCUAAAGCAAGAGCAGUUUUAUUGUUCCAGCAUGCUGGGGUCACCCUGCACACGAAGGAGCGAGAAAACACAACCAUGCGCAGCCCAUUUGGUGAGUUUUUAGACAGUUUUCAGAGCAGCAGCCAUUAGGCACAAUCUAUAGCAGUUUUCUUAAACAACGAAUUAUAAAACUCUACUACUAAAACCUUUCUAGGCAUCCGAUUCUAUCCAGUUAUUGGUUAUCGGGAUAGCUCAUUUUAAAAGUUAGCGAUUGUGCCUAGGCACUCAAAACUCUAUUACAGAUUUUGAGGUGUUUUGGUGUCAUGGAAUCUGAAUUAUCAAAAAUUUUCAUAUUGGUUUCAGAAGUAGUAGAAAAUUUUAAGAGUGAGUGGUUAGAUGAACAAAAGUAACCAAAAGAAAGAGUGAAGUUCAGUGUGUGCCAUGCUUAGCGCUGGGUUAUUGUAUAAGACCAAAGCUCUAGUCAGAAAACAGAAUAGGAGGGUUGACUCCACAGUUUAAAAAAAUUUUUUUUUUAGAAUCUCAUAUAUGAAUCCUGUAUUUCAAUCAUUUACCUCAUCUUUCUUCCCCAUUUCUCCUUAUGGAUCCACCUUCCAUUCGUUUCCAGGUUCUUGCUGAUACUUCCAUAUCUUCUUGAUGUAUACAUAUAUUCGUAUUGAAAGACCCCCGAAGGGAGACCCUCACUCAAGCCUCGGGACAGCCGCGG
rnacentral:lncRNA from 1 species